UACGGAGGGUGCAAGCGUUGCUCGGAAUUAUUGGGCGUAAAGGGUAGGUAGGUGGUCUCAUUUGUCUGUGGUGAAAGCCUUGGGCUUAACUCAAGAAGUGCCUCAGAAACGGUGAGACUAGAGUUCUGGAGAGGGUCGUGGAAUUCCCGGUGUAGCGGUGAAAUGCGUAGAGAUCGGAGGAACCACAGAGGAAGGCGGCGACCU
rnacentral:rRNA from 1 species